rnacentral:rRNA from 1 species
UACGGAGGGUGCGAGCGUUGUUCGGAAUCACUGGGCGUAAAGCGCGUGUAGGCGGCCCACUAAGUCUGAUGUGAAAGCCCGGGGCUCACCCCCGGAAGUGCAUUGGAAACUGGUGGACUCGAGUCCCGGAGAGGAGAGUGGAAUUCCUGGUGUAGCGGUGAAAUGCGUAGAUAUCAGGAGGAACACCGGUGGCGAAGGCGGCUCUCUGGACGGUGACUGACGCUGAGACGCGAAAGCGUGAGGAGCAAACAGG